rnacentral:rRNA from 1 species
GACGAACGCUGGCGGCGUGCUUAACACAUGCAAGUCGAACGGAAAGGCCCUGCUUUUGUGGGUUGCUCGAGUGGCGAACGGGUGAGUAACACGUGAGUAACCUGCCCUGGACUUUGGGAUAACUUCAGGAACCUGGGGCUAAUACCGGAUAGGAGCUCCUGCUGCAUGGUGGGGGUUGGAAAGUUUCGGCGGUUGGGGAUGGACUCGCGGCUUAUCAGCUUGUUGGUGGGGUAGUGGCUUACCAAGGCUUUGACGGGUAGCCGGCCUGAGAGGGUGACCGGCCACAUUGGGACUGGGAUACGGCCCAGACUCCUACGGGAGGCAGCAGUGGGGAAUAUUGCACAAUGGGCGGAAGCCUGAUGCAGCAACGCCGCGUGCGGGAUGACGGCCUUCGGGUUGUAAACCGCUUUCGCCUGUGACGAAGCGUGAGUGACGGUAAUGGGUAAAGAAGCACCGGCUAACUACGUG